GAUGAACGCUGGCGGCGUGCCUAAUACAUGCAAGUCGAGCGAACAGACGAGGAGCUUGCUCCUCUGACGUUAGCGGCGGACGGGUGAGUAACACGUGAAUAACCUACCUAUAAGACUGGGAUAACUUCGGGAAACCGGAGCUAAUACCGGAUAAUAUAUUGAACCUCAUUGUUCAAUAGUGAAAGGCGGUUUUGCUGUCACUUAUAGAUGGAUCCUCGCCGCAUUAGCUAGUUGGUAAGGUAACGGCUUACCAAGGCGACGAUGCGUAGCCGACCUGAGAGGGUGAUCGGCCACACUGGAACUGAGACACGGUCCAGACUCCUACGGGGGGAAGCAGUAGGGAAUCUUCCGCAAUGGGCGAAAGCCUGACGGAGCAACGCCGCGUGAGUGAUGAAGGUCUUCGGAUCGUAAAACUCUGUUAUUAGGGAAGAACAAAUGUGUAAGUAACUAUGCACGUCUUGACGGUACCUAAUCAGAAAGCCACGGCUAACUACGUG
rnacentral:rRNA from 1 species